rnacentral:rRNA from 1 species
GAAGCUUUGAUAGCUUCAACGAGUCUGCUGGUGUCGCCUUCUUUGGUGCCGAACUCUGAAAAGCUGGCCGACGAGCGCUAGCGAAUUUCGCGACCGAUCGCCGCAGGUAUUUAUUUAUUUAAUUAUUUUUAUUUUGAGCAGCAGCAGCGGCGGAGGGAGCGGCAGCUGCUCAGUGACGCCGCCGUAGCCACCGCCGGCCUGUGGAGCAGGGGCCGGGUGGUACGGCCUCGGGUGGUUCGGGGAGAGGGGGGCGCGUUCGGCGCCGGCGACGGCGGAGACGCCGGAGACGGAGCCGAGGCGGGAGGAGCGGUAGCAGCAGAGGUGGGAGCAGGUGGAGGAGAGGGGCGGCGGAGUCGGCCGGGGGAGGGGCUCGAAGAGGUAGUAGUAUCUGCCGCCGUCGUGGCCAUGGGCCCGGGUGCACAAGAGGAACCCCGGGCUGCCGGCCGGCCUAGACCGCGCGAGGCGGCACUACGCGCAGAGGGGCCCCGAGAGGAGAAAGCGGCGCCUGUGCCGCACGCGUCCCCUCAGCGACGCCGGCGACAACCUUAAACGGUUCCUCUUCCAUCCCUCGCUCCCCCGGCGGCGUCGUUGUCUCCACGCCGACUACCGUUGGCGACCGGACGCCGACGAGCUCCUCUCGCAAGCUCUCCGCUAUAACCACAGGACGUCCUUGCGGGAGUCCCGGAGGCCCAAGGCCAAGCUCCUGAGUACCCGUUUCCACUAGGGUCCAAGACUACUUCCGCAGAUACGAACCCAACGCCGUUUGAUACGAGACCCGUGUGAACCUCCCCUAGGAGUGUUUUGUUAACCUUAUUAACUUGAGCCCCCACGAAGUCGAGUCGACUGCAAACAAAGGCUGCUUCAUGAAGGAGACCUUGAUAGUUGAUUAAAAUGAAAACCCCCUUGUUGUAUGUGAGAGAUAUCGUUGUCGAAAGAUUUGAAACCUGUUUUACGUCGUGUUCUGAGUAUGGCACUUUAUGACUUCAGUUCUCCUAGAAAGUUUUUGCCAUGUGAACAACUAGGAACACGGGGAUUUCCUAAAAGAGUGUUUGCCUUUCAUAACCGCUCUUGUUCGCCACGUAGUUCUAGUUUAAAUCUCUUGGUUAUACAACUAUUACCUUCGCCUUUGAUAUUUCUUACAUCUAGAAGAAGUGACUACUACUACGUUCUUCCUUUCCUAUCAUCCUUUCCGAGGAUGACUGUGUCAAGAUAUACUCCCUCAAUGUACCAGGUUGGGACUUUGGAUCCCCCUCACUUUUGUGGGUGGUGGGUAGAACUUUCCACACUCAUAGUCGUUACAGUGGAUCCUAGAUUAAAGCAGGGACUCGACGAACCCGUAAAGGAUCGUUGACUUUUAAAGAUAAAAUGCAGGUUCAAGAAACCUGAUCUGGCCAGAAGUAGUGACAGACUAAAACACCAACGACCUCUCGUUGAAACGUUGUUCCUGAACAGGUGUGAUUCUGUUUUCAUAGAGUUAGUAAGUCUACUUCUAAAGAGAGCCAUAACGAAGAGCAGCCGUAUGUAACAUCGAGAUGACGUGCUGUCGGAACCACAUGGUAACCUACUGUUCUCCUAGCUCAUAAGUUUAGUCCAGCCGCUGUGAGUAUAACUCACCCGGGAUCCUCGAAAGUAACGUUUAUGUUUUGUAUCCUAAGAUCCCCGUAGUUCCCGACACCGUUGUGCCAGUGGAUUCGUGUCUGGUGACGAGCGGCACGACCCUCGCAAAGAACGAACACCUUAUAUAAACCACAACUCUACCUCCUUCGGGUUCUGUUUCUAAUAUAUACUAAAUCUCUUUCCGGCUAUGUAAUACUGUGCGUAGUCGACUGCGACUCGCAACACGUCCACCACCUCGUACUUUCCAUCGUGUGAACAUACACCGUACAUAACUUUACGACAUCUUGUAAAACAAUGUAUGAUUAGCAAAAUGACCGUAUAUGACAUGUUAAAACAUGAUUUAGUCGCUGUGAACAAAACCCUUCCUCCUCAUAUAAUUAGAAUCGAGUU